UCAAGUAAUUAAGUGCAUGUGGUGGAUGCCUUGGCAGUCAGAGGCGAUGAAAGACGUGAUAGCCUGCGAAAAGCUCCGGGGAGGCGGCAAAUAUCCUUUGAUCCGGAGAUGUCUGAAUGGGGGAACCCACCUACUUUAAGGUAGGUAUUGCAACAUGAAUACAUAGUGUUGCAAGGCGAACGAGGGGAAGUGAAACAUCUCAGUACCCUUAGGAAAAGAAAUCAAUUGAGAUUCCCUCAGUAGCGGCGAGCGAACGGGGAUCAGCCCAUUAAGUUAUGUGUGUUUUAGUGGAACGCUCUGGGAAGUGCGAACGUAGAGGGUGAUAUUCCCGUACACGAAAGGGCACACAUAAUGAUGACGAGUAGGGCGAGGCACGUGAAACCUUGUCUGAAUAUGGGGGGACCAUCCUCCAAGGCUAAAUACUCCUGACUGACCGAUAGUGAACCAGUACCGUGAGGGAAAGGCGAAAAGAACCCCUGUGAGGGGAGUGAAAUAGAUCCUGAAACCGCAUGCAUACAAGCAGUGGGAGCACCUUCGUGGUGUGACUGCGUACCUUUUGUAUAAUGGGUCAGCGACUUAUAUUCAGUAGCGAGGUUAACCGUAUAGGGGAGCCGUAGAGAAAUCGAGUCUUAAUAGGGCGUUUAGUUGCUGGGUAUAGACCCGAAACCAGGCGAUCUAUCCAUGAGCAGGUUGAAGGUUGGGUAACACUAACUGGAGGACCGAACCCACUGUCGUUGAAAAGCCAGGGGAUGACUUGUGGAUAGGGGUGAAAGGCUAAUCAAGCCUGGUGAUAGCUGGUUCUCCCCGAAAGCUAUUUAGGUAGCGCCUCGGACGAAUACCAUAGGGGGUAGAGCACUGUUUCGGCUAGGGGGUCAUCCCGACUUACCAAACCGAUGCAAACUCCGAAUACCUAUGAGUACUAUCCGGGAGACAGACUGCGGGUGCUAACGUCCGUAGUCAAGAGGAAAACAAUCCAGACCGCCAGCUAAGGCCCCAAAAUCAUAGUUAAGUGGGAAACGAUGUGGGAAGGCAUAGACAGCUAGGAGGUUGGCUUAGAAGCAGCCACCCUUUAAAGAAAGCGUAAUAGCUCACUAGUCGAGUCGGCCUGCGCGGAAGAUGUAACGGGGCUAAAACUAUGUGCCGAAGCUGCGGAUGUAUACUUUGUAUACGUGGUAGGGGAGCGUUCUGUAAGCCGAUGAAGGUGUGUUGAGAAGCAUGCUGGAGGUAUCAGAAGUGCGAAUGCUGACGUGAGUAACGACAAAACGGGUGAAAAACCCGUUCGCCGAAAGACCAAGGGUUCCAGUCCAACGUUAAUCGGGGCUGGGUGAGUCGACCCCUAAGGCGAGGCCGAAAGGCGUAGUCGAUGGGAAAAUGGUUAAUAUUCCAUUACUUCUGUGUAAUGCGAUGAGAGGACGGAGAAGGCUAAAUCAGCCUGGCGUUGGUUGUCCAGGUGAAAGGAUGUAGGCAUGUAUCUUAGGCAAAUCCGGGGUACUCUAUGCUGAGAUCUGAUAGCAAGCUGUACUUGUACAGCGAAGUGGUUGAUGCCAUGCUUCCAGGAAAAGUCUCUAAGCUUCAGUUACACAGGAAUCGUACCCGAAACCGACACAGGUGGUCAGGUCGAGUAGACCAAGGCGCUUGAGAGAACUCUGCUGAAGGAACUAGGCAAAAUGGUACCGUAACUUCGGGAGAAGGUACGCUGUUGUUGGUGAUGGAACUCGCUUCCUGAGCUGACGACAGCCGCAGAAACCAGGCCGCUGCAACUGUUUAUUAAAAACAUAGCACUCUGCAAACACGAAAGUGGACGUAUAGGGUGUGAUGCCUGCCCGGUGCUGGAAGGUUAAUUGAUGGGGUUAGCGUAAGCGAAGCUCUUGAUCGAAGCCCCAGUAAACGGCGGCCGUAACUAUAACGGUCCUAAGGUAGCGAAAUUCCUUGUCGGGUAAGUUCCGACCUGCACGAAUGGCAUAAUGAUGGCGGCGCUGUCUCCAGCAGAGGCUCAGUGAAAUCGAAAUCGCUGUGAAGAUGCAGUGUACCCGCGGCUAGACGGAAAGACCCCGUGAACCUUUACUGCAGCUUGACACUGAACUUUGACCUUACUUGUGUAGGAUAGGUGGGAGGCUUUGAAGCUGGAACGCUAGUUCCAGUGGAGCCGUCCUUGAAAUACCACCCUGGUAAUGUUGAGGUUCUAACUCUGUCCCGUGAUCCGGGACGAGGACCGUGUCUGGUGGGUAGUUUGACUGGGGCGGUCUCCUCCUAAAGAGUAACGGAGGAGUACGAAGGUGCGCUCAGCGUGGUCGGAAAUCACGCGUAGAGUAUAAAGGCAAAAGCGCGCUUAACUGCGAGACCCACAAGUCGAGCAGGUACGAAAGUAGGUCUUAGUGAUCCGGUGGUUCUGUAUGGAAGGGCCAUCGCUCAACGGAUAAAAGGUACUCUGGGGAUAACAGGCUGAUACCGCCCAAGAGUUCAUAUCGACGGCGGUGUUUGGCACCUCGAUGUCGGCUCAUCUCAUCCUGGGGCUGAAGCAGGUCCCAAGGGUAUGGCUGUUCGCCAUUUAAAGAGGUACGCGAGCUGGGUUUAGAACGUCGUGAGACAGUUCGGUCCCUAUCUACCGUGGGCGCUGGAAAUUUGAGAGGAUCUGCUCCUAGUACGAGAGGACCAGAGUGGACGAACCUCUGG
rnacentral:rRNA from 1 species